rnacentral:rRNA from 1 species
UACGUAGGGGGCAAGCGUUGUCCGGAUUUAUUGGGCGUAAAGAGCGUGUAGGCGGCUGGGUAGGUCUGCUGUGAAAACUCGAGGCUCAACCUCGAGACGUCGGCGGAAACCCUCCAGCUAGAGUCCGGAAGAGGAGAGUGGAAUUCACGGUGUAGCAGUGAAAUGCGUAGAUAUCGUGAGGAAGACCAGUGGCGAAGGCGGAUCUCUGGACAGUUCCUGACGCUGAGGCGCGAAGGCCAGGGGAGCAAACGGG